rnacentral:rRNA from 1 species
UACGUAGGGGGCAAGCGUUGUCCGGAUUUAUUGGGCGUAAAGCGCAUGUAGGCGGCAGCGCAAGUCGGGCGUGAAAUCCCACGGCUCAACCGUGGAAGUGCACUCGAAACUGCGCAGCUAGAGUCCUGGAGAGGAAGGUGGAAUGCUUGGUGUAGAGGUGAAAUUCGUAGAUAUCAAGCGGAACACCGGUGGCGAAGGCGGCCUUCUGGACAGUGACUGACGCUGAGAUGCGAAAGCGUGGGGAGCAAACAGG